rnacentral:rRNA from 1 species
CAGGACGAACGCUGGCGGCGUGCUUAACACGUGCAAGUCGAGCGAUGAAGCUUCUCGGAAGUGGAUUAGCGGCGGACGGGUGAGUAACACGUGGGUAACCUGCCUCAUAGAGGGGAAUAGCCUUCCGAAAGGAAGAUUAAUACCGCAUAAGAUUGUAAUAUCGCAUGAUAUAGCAAUUAAAGGAGCAAUCCACUAUGAGAUGGACCCGCGUCGCAUUAGCUAGUUGGUGAGGUAACGGCUCACCAAGGCGACGAUGCGUAGCCGACCUGAGAGGGUGAUCGGCCACAUUGGGACUGAGACACGGCCCAGACUCCUACGGGAGGCAGCAGUGGGGAAUAUUGCACAAUGGGGGAAACCCUGAUGCAGACCAACGCCGCGUGAGUGAUGACGGUCUUCGGAUUGUAAAGCUCUGUCUUCAGGGACGAUAAUGACGGUACCUGAGGAGGAAGCCACGGCUAACUACGUGCCAGCCGCAGC